UGGGGAAUUUUGUGCAAUGGGCGAAAGCCUGACACAGCAACGCCGCGUGAAGGAUGAAGUCCCUCGGGAUGUAAACUUCGUAAGAAUAGGAAGAAUAAAUGACGGUACUAUUUGUAAGGUCCGGCUAACUACGUGCCAGCAGCCGCGGUAAUACGUAGGGACCAAGCGUUGUUCGGAUUUACUGGGCGUAAAGGGUGUCUAGGCGGCCAUAUUAGUCUCUCGUUAAAUCUGUGGGCUCAACCUGCAGCCGGCGAGGGAAACGGUAUGGCUCGAGGGCGUGAGAGGUGCACGGAACUCAUGGUGGAGGGGUGAAAUCCGUUGAUAUCAUGGGGAACACCAAAGGCGAAGGCAGUGCACUGGUACGUUCCUGACGCUCAAACACGAAAGCCAGGGUAGCGAAGAGGAUUAGAUACCCACGUAGUCCCUGAGCGGGCUGGCAAGGCGCAU
rnacentral:rRNA from 1 species